GAACAUAUCGGGCAGCACAACAACACUACAACAAAGCGUCAAACUGGAUUAUUCAGCUAAUGGGUCAGGAACAAAACAAGAAGGAGGCUUGCUGAAACUCAAUUUCAGGAGCUCGGGUAUGCACUUUAGUGGAAUUUAUAACUAGAUGCAACACAACACUUACAUCAGGCCUUGCAGUUUGAAAGUUGAAGGUUCUCUCUUUAGGAAGUGGUGCAAUAUAAAACACUAUACAGAAUAUUCCAACAUAGAUGAAGCAUCAUAAAUAUCAGGAACAUAUAACCUUCCAUAAAAUUCAAACUUUACAACCUUCCAUAAAAUUCAAACUUUGCUGUACAUGAAAAGAAUGGAAAUAUCCACUAAAAUCAUUGAGUGAUUUGUAUCGCGAAAGAAGUCCACAAUUUAUAAUUCUCUUACAAAAUCAAAUACUUGUGAAUACGUGAUUUUUACCCUAUAUGAAUUACUCCAACAAAUUCAAGAAAACUAAAUUUUCCCAUUAUUUACAAUUUUUUGUAGCAUUUUGUUAAUUGUUGGCAUUUGUUUGUGCAUGUUUAAUUUUGCUUGAUUCAUGAAAAGACAAAAUACAUUGCAUUUGCAUUUAGGACUUAAUUUUACAUUUGGGAUUAAUUAGUAAAUUAGUUUAUUUGACAAAAAUAGAGAAAAAUCACAAAAUAAAUCAUUUUGCAUUUUUAACUUUUAAUUUUGAAUUUUAUAAUUUUUCUUCUAAUUUAGGAUUUAAUUAAUAAUUGAAAAUACUGUGUUGAGUAAUUAGCUUAAUUUGGUAAAUUAAUUUAGUUUAAGAGUUAAUUUUAGGAUUUAAAUUAAUUUGAGAAGAAAAGAAAGAAAAGAAAACAAUUGAAAAUUGAAAAAAGAAAGGAAAUUAAAAUAGAAAAGGCUUCCUUGAUUUAGGUUAAUAUGCCAACCCAGUCCCCAAGAUCCGUUCAGCUCCGGGCCCAAUUACCCCCAUACUCGGUCCAAGUUAUUAGUCAUUAAAGAUCUUUGAAAUGACGUAGUAUGGGGGCGAUACUACGUCGUUUUGAGUUCAGUUAUGUCAAAUUGAUCCUGGCCCUUCAUCUUCCAUCAUCCAACGGCCAGAAAAGCUUCAUUAAACCCGUAUAUAACUGUCCGAAUGGACCCUACCCCCUCAGAACCCCCCCGUCUCUCUCAGUUCAUCUCACAACCAGAGACCGAAUAUAAACCCUAAUAGCCGCCACACUUUCCCACCGUCCUCCGGUGGCGGCGCCACCCCAAACCGCCCCAAACUAACACCCUGAGACCCUCAUGAUCCCCUCUCUCCAAAUCCCUAACCCAUAUCCCUCGAAUCCCUCCCGAUUCCGUCGAAUCUUGAAUCUAAGGAUAGAGUUCGAAGCCCCAAGAAGUCAAAAUGAUUUAAUCCUUGAUUCCGUGGCUUGCAUGGCUACUUGCCCCUAUUUUUCUGAAGAUUGAAGGUUGAUUAAACACGAAAGUGAUGUUUUUCACUUGUUGUUUACGAAGAACAACUGGGUAAUAUCACUUUUCGUUUAAAUCAGUGUCUCAAUUAGGUUUCGAGCCUUGAUUCGGUAAGUUCCUCCUCCCCUCAUGUAUUUUUCUUUCUUUUACUGUUUCACUUUCCUCCUCCUCUCUUUUUCUUUGGUCUGGUCAAAAUUUGUUUAGACCUUCUGAGUUCAAGUUGGUUCCAUCUUUUGUUAUGUUUUCCUCUUCUUUUCUUCUUCUUUGUGAAAGCUUGACUAUCUGAUUUCUUUAGUUCGUUUCUUCAACCCUGUUUUGUUUAGUUCUUUUGUGUUAAUAGCAUAAUUACUGUUUUAUCGUCUAUUUAGUCACCUAGCUAAUACAAUUAGGCCCUUAACUUAAAUAAUUUCCUGUUGUAUGUCUACGUUAAUUAGUUCAUCCACUUUCUUGUGUUUUGAUUGCAUUAUUAAAGGUUCCGGGUUUCUUAUCUUGGGAAUUUUGGGUCAGUUCUUAAUUUGGGAAUCCCUGAUUGUCUUUAAUUGGUUCUGAAAAUCAAAAGCCCAAGUAGGGUCGUGUUAGGGUUUGCAAACCCAUGGCUAUUUGAGGUUCAGGGGUAAUUUUAGGGGUUGUGGGGGGUAGUUUAGGAAAUUGGCUUGGGGAAUCUUUAGUGUAAUAGAUUGAGAAGCUUCCAGGAAGUGGGAUUGGGGGUUGUUGUUGAAACACUGAUAAUUAACUAAGGGUAUGGGAGCUAAAACAAAAAUUGGAAAAGGGGCAAAAUGCAAAGACUGAGGUCUGUUGUUGCCCUACUCUCCUGCCUAUAAAGGCACAUUUCCUUGCCACUCAAGGCAAACUUUUAAAGGGGCAAAAUCCAGAAAGGCAGAAAAAAUCAGAAACGGUUAAGAAUUUUAGAGAAAAACUACUGUUCCAUUGAAUUUGCUUCUCUGAUUCUUGAGAUUUUCAACUUCAGAAGCAAUUUUGAUUCAUUGAGAGUUUGAAAAUGGUUUGAAUAAGAAGUUGUGGCUAAUUUCUUGGGAUUUGGAAAGGGGUUUAAUGUUUUGCUGGUUUUGGAUUGCAAAAAUGGGCAGAAAUUGCUGUUGCUAGAUUGCUGCUAAUCUCAUCUCUUUCUUCUGAUAUUCUGUAGUUAUUUUUUGCUGCACCCAGGUACUCUUUCGAAUCCUUGCAAUGGAGUGUGAGUAUUGAAUGAAAAGUGGUGUUCCAAUGUCCGGAUUUCAUCUCCCUUUCAAAGUCUGAUUUUUAGUAGUUUUGUUGUGGUUUGAUGCUUGUCAAUCGGUCUGUUUGCAGUUCUAAUCGAACUUAGUGUCAGUGAACGUCAUAUAGUUGUUUGUAAUCGUAAAAUUGGACUUUCACUCUAUUUCAGUAGUUUCAAGUGUAUUCAAAUGAAUUUUAGCUUUGUAUUAGUGGUCUGAUGACAUGAUAUACUACUACCUGGCUCAUUAGUUUAUGUGCUGAAACCAAUGUUUUAAUUAGCUUAGAUGUAUCAGUGUGUUGGAGGUUCUUAAAUGUACUUGCACU
rnacentral:lncRNA from 1 species